GUGGGGAAUCUUGGACAAUGGGGGAAACCCUGAUCCAGCAAUGCCGCGUGUGGGAUGAAGGCCCUCGGGUUGUAAACCACUUUUGGCAGGAAAGAAAUCGCCUGUGCUAAUACCAUGGGCGGAUGACGGUACCUGCAGAAUAAGCACCGGCUAACUACGUGCCAGCAGCCGCGGUAAUACGUAGGGUGCGAGCGUUAAUCGGAAUUACUGGGCGUAAAGCGUGCGCAGGCGGUUUUGUAAGACAGAUGUGAAAUCCCCGGGCUUAACCUGGGAACUGCAUUUGUGACUGCAAGACUAGAGUGUGUCAGAGGGAGGUGGAAUUCCGCGUGUAGCAGUGAAAUGCGUAGAGAUGCGGAAGAACACCGAUGGCGAAGGCAGCCUCCUGGGAUAACACUGACGCUCAGGCACGAAAGCGUGGGGAGCAAACAGGAUUAGAAACCCCAGUAGUCC
rnacentral:rRNA from 1 species